CAUUUCUACAGCUAAAUAGAAUUUUGUGACUUCAGCUAAAAGCACUUUUUCAGGAAUGGGUGCUUUUAUGGCAUAUUACUAGUAUCAGCUAACUUUCUACACUCAGCACUAUGUGCUGGUAUAGGAGCUUUUGAUUUAGCAGGUAAAUUGUUGUAAAAGCAGUCAUCUUUUAUUUCUUUUGUAAAUUUCUUUUUUUCUCUUUGGCAUAGAGGAAAUUAUUUUGCUACUCCACCAGCAUAAAUAUAUUUUUUCUGCAGUCAAUAAUGCAAACCUAGACACUUUGAUAUACCGCUAAAGAAUCACUCAAAAGCUACCUGUAGCAUCUACUGCUUCCUGUACUUUAGCUAGAAAUACCAUCAUGUAUUUUUGCGUUUCAGAGGAAAGAAGAGAGUUUUGCGAUAUCCAAGGGAAUAACACUGUCUUUUUAAUUAAGAUUCACAUGAAAUGUUUUUCACAUAGGUAUCAGAGCAUGGUGUCAGUGCUUCAAGUCAAGAGGUCAAAACUAAAUAUAACCAGCCUAAUUUUAUUUGUCAAGAAAAUAACAAAGCUAAACAGAGCUGAACUAAUAAGAAAUAAAUAGUUUGUCUUUUCUUAGUUUACUAAUUUAGAGUUCAUUCCAUAAAAGGGUUUAUUCCUAUCAGUACUCAGCCUGUAACUCCAAAUUUUAAUAUGUCUUUUGGACUCUGUGUAAGCCAUUAUGGAAUAAACGCCACAUGUUUGUCAUGGUCAGACCAGGCUGGAUGGGGCUUUGAGCAGCCUUGUCUAGAGGAGGGUGUUGGAACUAGAUGAUCUUUAAGGUCCCCUCCAACCCAAAACAUUCUAUGAUCCUGUGAUCUAUUAUUCUGUUUUAUUUAGUAUAAAACACACUGCCCAUGUAAUUACUAUUAAUGUUGUUUUGAGGAGUGGUGGCAGGGGUUGUGCCAGGGUUGCUAGCUAACUAAAGGGGAAGGAUACAUUGCAACUAACGAUUGUGCUCUGGGACACGUAUGCACUGUCUGCUUGUUAACUAAUGCUCAAAUUGGUGAUUUUUGGAAGGUGUGACCCAGCACUAAUGCUACUAUUAGAAAUGUAGGAAGGUAGCGACAAAUACCUGCCCUACUGGGACACUGUAGACCAGCCAGGAGGUGAUCCCAAGGAAAAAGAUGGGGUCGAAGCCUCUCCAUCCCAUGAAGGCAGAUGCCUAAGUCUAACCUGCAGAAGGAGACCACAGGUGUGUAUUGGGCUCCUCCAUAAGCCCACUUUGGUUUCUGAUCAGCCCUUUGUCACAUAGUGUAGUGUCCGUUUUGCUUAGAAAUUGGGUGGUAGUAGUGCUGUCUCAGGACGCGAGAGAUCAAAGCAACUUCUUUCUCAGCAAGGACUUGAAGCAACAUCCUCGUGUCUCAGCAGAGUGCCCUUACCACCGGUCUGGGGAAUAUUUUUAAGCCAGGAUUCUCGGUGUUUUCUGUUGAAACUCAUUUACUUUGCAUAGACUGAUAAAAUAUUCUGCAGACUAGAAAGUACAAGUUCUAAGUCCCGAUUUGCACUUCAGUGAAUGUUUAUUUGGUUUAUAGAGGGGGGUACAGCAUUUGGUAGGCUCUGGGUGUUCAGCAGCAUUAGACUGUAGGGUUGCAGUCAUCAGCAGGCACUCUUGAUACUGAAGGACCUCUGUGGUACCUUGUGACAGUAGUGCCUCCAAGAGGUAGGGAGCUGCUGCCCAGGUGUCUGAAGAUCAGUGCAUUGGAUCGCUGCCUACCUUUUGUGACAGACACCUGGGCACCCUCCGUUCCACUGGAAAUAGGUGGACACUACGACCCCUGAGCAAUACAGAGGGUUAGCAUACUGGGAUAUUUGCAGCAUCUAGAUCCUCCUCUGCUCUUUGAAACCAUUGGAAAAAACCUGUUACUGACUUCAGUUGCGUCAAAUGAAUGAUUUGUCAAUGCCUCAAGACACCCUUAUCUCAUGAGCAGCUAUUUUUCUUUGAAUAACUUAAGAACGUUGAAAGGACUGUGUUUCCUUUUUCUUUUAAAAAACCCCCACCUAUGCUCACCCCAGCCCAUAUUAUGAUCUUGAUUAAAACCUGUUUAUUUUAACUGUAAAUGGCACAAAAUGUAUCUUGUCAUAAAGGCACAGCCUGAAGCAACUCCUCAAACUGGCGUAUGAUACAGCUGCCCUUUUCAUGGGGUGAUGGAGGUUGGAGAGGGUCUCUGCAGAUCCUCUGCAGAUGCUCUAGUCCAGCCUGCGCUCCAGGCGGGGUCAGCUGCAGCCAGCUGUGCAGGGAUGUGUCCUCCUGGGGUCUGGGUAUCUCCAUGGACAGUCCAUAAGCUCUCAGGACAACCUGUGCCGGUGUUCAACCACCCUCGCAGUAAAAGAGGGGUUUUUUCUCCUGUUAAAUGGAAUUGCCUGUAUUUUCAAUUUGUGCCUGUUGCCUCUUGUGUUUUUUCUGUGUGAACUGUUCACGAGCAGUGAGGUGAAGGAGGAAGUUGCAUCAUCCUCACAAAACAAGGCACAUUUUCUGGAGAAAUUGUCAAAAUUUGCAUCCUUCUUCUCUGCAAGAAGCUGCAGCAUGUUGGGCCAGAGGUGUAAAGUCUUCUUGCAAGGGAUAUCUGCAUGGUGUGAGGCAGCUGCACUGGCCCUGUUAGAGCAGUCUGUAAUGGCAUGAAGGAGGGAGUGCUGACCGAUGUCGGAAGUGAACACAACUGCACUGAACGAUCCACCUGAGGCCAAGGACCAGGCUUGCUCCUGGAGUCACAGAGACCAAAGGAUGUGCCAUUGCCUAACCAUACUGAGCUAUUUGAACUUGUACAGCACAAGGUACUUUGUUCUCCUAGCUAACGUUUUUCUUCUUUAAGUAUUGUUUACGCGCAAGCAGACCUAAUGAUUCCAAGUGACCUGCUUCAGCCACUGAGCCAUAACCACAGCUCCGUAAUCCCAGGUGGGACAAAGAGAUAAGCUUACAGGAGCUAGUGUUCCCUUUUUUGUAGAUUCAUUCAGUUUCUGGGUUUUUCUAAUCAUAGACUCUGGUCUUCUCUUGCUUCUUGGUGAGCUGAUGCUUCAAGGAAGUUGUGCAUGUGCAGAAAGCGUGUCCUGCCAUUUAGAGGAAAGCAAUACAAGUAGAAUCUUUUAGUUGUGCUUGAAGCUGUACCCCUCAUUCAUUAAUAAAGCGUGUCAUCUCGCUGCUUCACUUUAUCCAGGCCAGCAGUGAGAACAGAACUAUUCUUUGACUGAGAGAGGCUAAGCUCAUUGUUACGCCCAUAAAGUCUAUUGUCAUUCUUGUCCUUGAAUGUCAGUUGCCUAGCUGCGAACUUUGGAAGACAGCAUCAGACCCUGAAUCCUGUCCUGAAUGCAACCCCCUAUAGAUUUGAUUUUAAAGAGAUCCAUCUUUUCCUUAAAAACAGUGGCAUGCAGCUGUUGAAUAAAAGCAUAGUGAUUAAAGUUCUGCCACAAGAAGGGGAGUUUGGGUUUCAGGUCCCUGCUUUGACCACAGCUCUCAUAUUCUGCCUAUUCUUGAUAGAGGCUACAUUUAGUGGAGGGCAAUGUGUACAUAAUUUUAAGUUUUAUGGAUCCUUUACUGAUUCCAGGAUGCUUUUCACCAAGGCUGCUGUCGGUGAUGGAGACAUUCCUAUGAGGAAGAACUUGUUCAUCAUGGGGGCUGUUUCAGACACCCUGCUGAGCUGCCUGCCUUUCCCUGGUACCACGUACAGUACCAGAGCAUGCAAGGACUGGAUUACAUUCCUCGAGCCACUAAGCCUCUGAGUCCUUUCCUGGAUAUAAAGUAGUUUCUGUCAUCUUGCCAUACUCACCAGCAGAAGUGCAAAGAUUGCACCACGCUGUUCAGAUUCUCUUUAAGAUAACCACUUGCAAAUAAAAGAUUUAGUUCCAACGAG